rnacentral:misc_RNA from 1 species
GACAGAAUCCAUGGAACGUCUUCUUGAAGUUGAGUAUCCAACUUUAGAAGGCAAAGGAACAGAAGGAACAGCAGGGGCUUGGGCACCAACCUUGAGCCAUUGUUUAUAGUAGAGAGCAAACUUUGUUGUACCAAUAUCAACAUGGUCAUUAUAGAGCUUGUUUAAGACCUUCAUGUGCUUCUCCUUUUCAGCAUAAUCCGAACU